rnacentral:rRNA from 1 species
AUUGAACGCUGGCGGCAGGCCUAACACAUGCAAGUCGAGCGAGCGGCGGACGGGUGAGUAAUGUCUGGGAAACUGCCUGAUGGAGGGGGAUAACUACUGGAAACGGUAGCUAAUACCGCAUACCAUCAGAUGUGCCCAGAUGGGAUUAGCUAGUAGGUGGGGUAACGGCUCACCUAGGCGACGAUCCCUAGCUGGUCUGAGAGGAUGACCAGCCACACUGGAACUGAGACACGGUCCAGACUCCUACGGGAGGCAGCAGUGGGGAAUAUUGCACAAUGGGCGCAAGCCUGAUGCAGCCAUGCCGCGUGUGUGAAGAAGGCCUUCGGGUUGUAAAGCACUUUCAGCGGGGAGGCGUUACCGACAGAAUAAGCACCGGCUAACUCUGUGCCAGCAGCCGCGGUAAUUC